GAUAAACGCUGGCGGCGUGCCUGAGACAUGCAAGUCGAACGAAGGAUCGGGCUUGCUCGAUCCUUAGUGGCGGACGGCUGAGUAACGCGUAGGUGACCUACCCCGAAGUGGGGAAUAACUGCCCGAAAGGGUGGCUAAUACCGCAUGUGGUCGCACGUUCAUUCGUGCGAGUAAAGCCGCAAGGCGCUUCGGGAGGGGCCUGCGUCCGAUUAGCUCGUUGGUGGGGUAAUGGCUUACCAAGGCGACGAUCGGUAGGUGGUCUGAGAGGACGAUCACCCAGACUGGGACUGAGACACGGCCCAGACUCCUACGGGAGGCAGCAGUCGGGAAUUUUGCUCAAUGGGGGAAACCCUGAAGCAGCAACGCCGCGUGAGGGAUGAAGGCCUUCGGGUUGUAAACCUCUUUUGUCAGGGACGAUGAUGACGGUACCUGGCGAAUAAGCCACGGCUAACUACGUG
rnacentral:rRNA from 1 species